rnacentral:rRNA from 1 species
UACAGAGGGCCCGAGCGUUGUUCGGAUUCAUUGGGCGUAAAGGGUGCGUAGGCGGUCUUCUAAGUUUGAUGUGAAAUCCCGGGGCUCAACCCUGGAAUUGCAUUGAAUACUGGAGGACUAGAGUACCGGAGAGGAAACUGGAAUUUACGGUGUAGCAGUGAAAUGCGUAGAGAUCGUAAGGAAGACCAGUGGCGAAGGCGAGUUUCUGGACGGUAACUGACGCUGAGGCACGAAGGCCAGGGGAGCAAACGGG